UACGAAGGGGCUAGCGUUGCUCGGAAUCACUGGGCGUAAAGCGCACGUAGGCGGCUUUCUAAGUCAGGGGUGAAAUCCUGGAGCUCAACUCCAGAACUGCCUUUGAUACUGGAGAGCUUGAGUCCGGAAGAGGUGAGUGGAACUCCGAGUGUAGAGGUGAAAUUCGUAGAUAUUCGGAAGAACACCAGUGGCGAAGGCGGCUCACUGGUCCGGUACUGACGCUGAUGUGCGAAACGUGGGGAGCAAACAGGGAUUAAGAAACCCUG
rnacentral:rRNA from 1 species